UACGUAGGGGGCAAGCGUUGUCCGGAUUUAUUGGGCGUAAAGAGCGUGUAGGCGGUUUGGUAGGUCCGCUGUGAAAACUCGAGGCUCAACCUCGAGACGCCGGUGGAAACCAUCAGACUAGAGUCCGGAAGAGGAGAGUGGAAUUCCUGGUGUAGCGGUGAAAUGCGCAGAUAUCGAGAGGAACACCGGUGGCGAAGGCGGCCUUCUGGACAGCAACUGACGCUGAGACGCGAAAGCGUGGGGAGCAAACAGG
rnacentral:rRNA from 1 species